AAAAAGGCCCUCGCCUCUCGUCUUAAUGUCGUCUCUUGCUUUAAUAACACUGGGUUUAGCAUUAUAUAUCCAGACUGUCCAAACUAACCCAUGUACAUCUCUAAUGAGUACUUUAAGUUUUAGAAGUCAAAGUCUUAAAAAGGUUUAGGAUUACUGAGUCCAUAGAUAUUUCCUUUAAGGCUUUAUGAACAUUAUCAAUUAAAGAACUGAUUCAAAAAUUUCCAGCAGUUCUGCCUCUUUAGGAUUAUGUUAUGUGACGCAAUCUGGAUUGCGUUGGACCUUGAGUGUAAUGCAUAAGGCAUUGUAGGUAUGGUGCUAAAAUCUUCUAAACUUCACACUUUGUAUUCAAUCAUGCGAAAGAAUUCAGUUCAAUUGGUUUGUGAUACAAUUCAGUCGUUUAGAAUAAUUUGUAAAAUGAUAAAUUGGAUUGAAUUUAAAAUAUGACAAAGUUACUUUAAG
rnacentral:misc_RNA from 1 species